rnacentral:ribozyme from 1 species
AGUUUUAAUAGUUCUGUAAAAGGGUUGGAUCCGACGCCCCUAGGAGGCUACUAUAGGCUCUCCUUCUCAACUCCUACUCAAUACGUCCACGACGUGCAGAACGGUAACUUGUCGCCUAGAUAUCCAAGCUUGGGUACACGGGGAAACCCACCCCCUUGGGCGGAUGGGCGGCAAGGAUGAAUUGGAUGAA